AUCUUUCUACUUUUGUGCUUCGUCAGUUCGUCUGUUGUCAUCUAAAUCUCCUUCUUUAUUCUAUGCCCUUCUUCAAUUCUCAUUGUCACAUUAUUUCUGAAAAUAUCAGAAAUAUUGCAAAGGCAGCAGGAAGACUAACAGCUCAAUCUUCCCAAGAUACUGGAAAAACUAUACCCAUUUUUGAUAUCAGAUGGAAUGCCAGGUUACAAAUCUGAGUUUAAAAAUCAGCCUUUCUCCCAAGAGACUAAGAAUGAUUUCCUCCCUAAUCCUGGCACACCUGGUUGCUAUUAUGAAUUGCAGGAGUUGAAGAAAUCUAUGGAACAGUUUUCAGAGUUAAAGCAUGAUAAUUUUUAGCUAUUAAAUGUUCUCUAUCAUCAGAAACUGUACCUGUUAACCUAAAACUUUUCUCUGUAUUACUAUAGGAAACUGCCCUUUAAAUCAAUCUCAUUUUUUGUAUACUUAUUAUCUUCAA